CUUGAAGUCAGUGAGACCAAGAACCCACCAAUUCCGGACACAAUAGUAUUGAGUGGUGGGUACUUUCCAAGGUUAUUGGGUCAUGAGAGAUCCUCCCUUUGUAAAUGGACUUAAAGCAGUUAUAAAACAAGCUUCCCACAGAAUGAGACAAGCUGCUUUUCCAGGUUCUGCCCUGUGAGGGUACUGUGUUUUUCCCUCCAGAAGAUGCAGCCAUAAGGCGCCAUCUUGGAAGCAGAGAUCAGCCCUCAUCAGACAACUGAAGUUGCCACCACCUUGAUAGCAGACUUCCCAGGCUCCAGAACUGAUACUCAUCCUUGGAACUCAAAUUCGCACACACGGAGAGACUCCCGCACAGAGAAGAAAUGAGCACCCUAACUGACAGCCAGCGUGGACCAUCCAUCAGCAAUGUGACUGAGGGAGUGAGCCUUCAGAUGACUCUUCCAGCACCCAGUCUCCCAGUUUUCCUGCUAAGGCUUCAGACAUCAUGCAGUAGAGAGAAAAAGCCAUUCGUGCUCUGCCCUGUAUAAUUUCGGACCGAGACUAUAAGUGGUUGUCUUAGACCACAUGUUUUAGGGUAAUUUACUAUGCAGCCAUAGUGACUGGAACAUACUUCCAAGUAAAUCUAGCAGAAAAUACAAUAAUAUUUUUGUUUAUUUUCUACUCAUAUGUAAGAGAUGAGCCUUUUCUCUCAUAAAGAAAUAGUUUCUAUAAUGUUAUGGUAGAGGAAAGGGGCAAGAUAAUCCAAACACACUGAAGGGAGCUCUAAGUACAGGGAAGAACAUAUACAUAUUAUAGCCACAGGUUUUUUUUUUUCUUCAAACUCAUCUAUUAUUUUGAGUAUGAUAAUACUAUGUCUGUGUAUGACAGAAAAAUUUAAACUUUGUCAUCCUCUGGGAGAAUGUUCAGGUAAAUUGAAGGUAUUUCGGAAAUUCAGACUAACAAAUGCGUGGCUAAUUAUAGGCAUACAUUUCAAGGGAAAGAUUUUCAGGUAAAUACAAAUUUGUUUUAUUUUAUUUUAUUAAAUUAUCCCUUGAUUAUUAACAAUUUGUUGUUUGUGUAAAUAAAAAUAGUUACUGUACAAUUUGAAGGUUAGCCUUUUUUCGUGGUAUUAUCUUUCAUACAGAUCCCUGGAGGGUGUUUACUCCGAGGAAAUGUUGAUCUCUUAAAGAUCUGCCACAGAAUUCUUCUAGCCUACUUUCUGAUCAGCUCCCUUUGUAUUAUGAGUCUAUGAAAUGAUAAAUCACAAUUAUUUCCUGGUCGAUUUCUUCUGGAUAACAGUCCUCUUAGCUCCCUUCUCAUUCCCAGUAAUUAGUGAGCUCUCUUUUCUUUUACUGUUGAUGUCACUAGUAUUCAACUGACAUCUGUCAAAACUUUUGGUAUUCUUUACUGAGUUAUUAUUGAAAUGCUUUUAAAAUGGAUGAAUACAACAAUCAUGAAGUUGUCAAUUUUAUAAUUAAUUUUUGAAUGAGCUUGUGAGAAUGAUUGUGGCUUUAUAGUAUCAGGUGUGAAAGCAUUCAAAAUUAGUCAAAAGAUUUUUUUCCUUUAUCUCUUAAAUACAAUUAUGAAUUUUAAAAAACAGAACAAAAACAGCAUAAUGAUCUAGAUAUUAUUAUUUUAAUUGCUACAUGGUGGAAAAAAACUUCCUUUAUACAUUUUUCAAGAUGUGUAUCUAUUUUCUAGUAUGUUUUACUUUACCAAAUCCUGUUUUAAAUAAAGUGAAAUUAGUGCUUAAGAGACUGCAAAUUUGAAUUAAUUAUAAAAUCAUAAAUCAGAUGUUAAUUUUGUUAAUUCCAAACAUAUUUAAAUAUAAUGAUAUUAACAAUAAAAAAUAUAACAACAUAUUUAUUGAGCACUUACUAUAUGUCAGACACUGAUAGGUACUGUUCAAGAGUUAGUUUAUCAGAUUCAGGUAUUAAUGCAUUUACUCUACACAAUUACUUUGGAUAGAUACUUUAAAUUUCCUUUUGUUUUACAGAUGAGGAAAAAGACUUACAGGGACUAUCUAUGUAUAGAAAUGCAUUCGUUUUCAAUGUGUGUCUAUGUGUGCUCUUUGUAAGUAUACAUGCAUACACAAAUACAGACACACACACACAAAUUAAUAUAGCUGUAUCAAGUUUUCUGAAGGAAAGACACAACAUAUUUAACUAGCAUAUUUUCUUCUUUGUUUUUACAGUGGCUAUAAUCCAGUUUGUGUCUAAUAAUUGUCUUCCCUGAAAUGCCCAUUUUUCUCCAGAAAUGGCCUUUGAGUGGAAUGUUCUAGCUAAGGGGCUCUCUGUUGUAACGGUUCCCGCAGCCAUCAGUACAUUAGCUCCAACUGCUGCUGUAGCCAUUGCCAUUUACAUUUCUCCCAGGAGAAUUCAGAUGAAAAAAGGAAACUGUUAGUGCUAAGUGUGUGCCAGGUUUGGAUAUAAUCUCUAAACACAUUCUAGCUGAGCCUAGAAUGAGAAUAUUUUCUUUUAUUUUUCAAUGGGCAAAAAUACUAUGUUAUAGAGUACAAAAUGUGAGUGCAUUACAAUAAAAACAGUAGUACAGUAAAAAUAGACACUCUUAUGAGGACAGAAAAGAUUUUAUUUGGAACAAUAGCUUUAAAAGCAGACUCCUGCUUCUCUAAGUUUAAGUAUUGGGAAGCCAAGGGGACAAAAUUCCAAUUUAGUGACUGAACCCUCACUUUUUCCAGAUUGUUCUUCCCUUAAAACAGGUAACAACAGUGAUUGUAAUUUCAACUAAGGAGUUUGGCACUAAUUCAAAAUGAGGAUUUUAAUAAACUUCACUGUUAUCCUAACAUCUCCUCUCUUCUCCUAAAACCAUAUAUGUGAAGGUAUGUGUACAUUCACCUACAUAUUUCUUUGCCUAUUUUUUCUUUUAACGUUUUAU
rnacentral:lncRNA from 1 species